GACGAACGCUGGCGGCGUGCUUAACACAUGCAAGUCGAACGGAGUGGCGAACGGGUGAGUAACACGUUGGUGACCUGCCCUGCACUUCGGGAUACGCCUGGGAAACUGGGUCUAAUACCGGAUAGUGUGGGAUGGGCCCGCGGCCUAUCAGCUUGUUGGUGGGGGAAUGACCUACCAAGGCGGCGACGGGUAGACGGCCUGAGAGGGUGGACGGCCACAUUGGGACUGAGACACGGCGCAGACUCCUACGGGCGGCAGCAGAGGGGAAUAUUGCACAAUGGGCGGAAGCCUGAUGCAGCGCCGCCGCGUUGGGGAUGACGGCCGUCGGGUUGUAAACUCCUUUCACCAUCGACGCGGUAGAUGGAGAAGAAGCACCGGCUAACUACGUGCCAGCAGCCGCGGUAAUUC
rnacentral:rRNA from 1 species